UACGAAGGGUGCAAGCGUUGCUCGGAAUUAUUGGGCGUAAAGGGUUGGUAGGUGGUCUUGUUUGUCUAAGGUGAAAUCCCAUGGCUUAACUGUGGAAGUGCCUUAGAAACGGCAAGACUAGAGUCCUAGAGGGGUUUGUGGAAUCCCCGGUGUAGCGGUGAAAUGCGUAGAGAUCGGGAGGAACACCAGCGGCGAAGGCGGCAAACUGGAUAGGCACUGACACUC
rnacentral:rRNA from 1 species